rnacentral:rRNA from 1 species
GACGAAGGAUGCAAGCGUUAUCCGGAUUCAUUGGGCGUAAAGGGUGCGUAGGUGGCGCGGUAAGUCGGGUGUGAAAUUUCGGAGCUUAACUCCGAAACUGCAUUCGAUACUGCCGUGCUUGAGGACUGGAGAGGAGACUGGAAUUUACGGUGUAGCAGUGAAAUGCGUAGAGAUCGUAAGGAAGACCAGUGGCGAAGGCGGGUCUCUGGACAGUUCCUGACACUGAGGCACGAAGGCCAGGGGAGCAAACGGG